UGUUAACCGAACCUCCCUUCUCCACUCUUCAUAUUUUUCUUCUUCUUGCAAUCUACUUAAAUAUCUUGUGAGAUUUGAAUGAUCUUUGAGAGAGUUUUAGUAGAUCAAUUUAAGAGAGGAUUAAAGAAAAGAUUAAAGCUUGAGGUUCAGAGUGUGAACCGGACAAGAGACUUCGUAUAGAGUGGCAAAUAGUUCUCACGUAGUGUAAGUUAAAUGUGUUGGAAGCUUGCUAAGGAUGUUAGCAAUUGGGGAUAGUUAAGGUAACCAGGUGUGGUGAAGACUUGCAAGAUGUGAAUGACUUUGGCGAUAGAAAACAUCAAGACUCAAUGUCAUAGUGAGUCAUUUGUACUAAGUCAUCCUUGACUUGGAAUUCAAGAUCAUCUUAGGGUUAUGUUUCAGAGUGUUGUCCAGGUCUGUUAUUGGGAAGUUUGUUGUUGAAGCUCAAUGCUUAAAUGUGUUAGUGGUAUUGACCUUCACUUGUUGUCAAAUCCUUGUAAGAAAAUAUAUUCAAGUGGUCUAAUAUUUUAUAACCAUGGGCAUUUCUUUGGUCCUAGUUAUGGAAAAUAUUUAGACAGGUUGUCAUUAUGUUCUUUUAGACAGUAUGUUUAAUUGUGUUCUUAAACCUUUAAUUGAGAAAACAAUUUAUAAAAGAGGUAUUGUAUUAUGAUCAUUGUCAUACAAAACUUUACUCUGAUUUGUUUAAAAGAUGAUCAUAUUCUAAAUACUUUGUUGUUUUAAAAAGAAAAAAAAUACACUCUCGCUGUUAAAAAUCGGGGUGUUACAUUGUGGUAUCAGAGCUCGGCGGUAGAUUUCGCUAAGGGGUUGUGAGUCAUGUGUCCUAAGCUGAUCAAGUGUCGGGUUUAGUGGGAGUAAAUAUUUGUAGUCCUAUGUUUUAUAUGUUUUGUGUCUUGAGUCAAGAACGUAUAUGCUUAGGUAAUCGAUUAUUUCUUAACUGAAGUUAAUGAACCCUAUACUACUUUAGUAAGAAGGAUAGUUAAAACCCUAGAGCAUUAGUCGACUUUGGUCGACAUAUGUAUCUGAAUUCUUUGGAUGUGUUAGUCUAGAGGGAGCAAGAUUGAAGCGAGUAAGAACUAAAAGGUAUUUCUGUAGUGACUCUAUAGAUUAGAGGUUGUGUUUGUUCUCGUCACUCACAAAUGUUGAAUAGGGACCAAUGGAAGUCAAGCUUACAAAUAGUUUCAAGUUAGAACCUUAUUUGGGGGAACCUUUGUAGAAAAAUUAUUGGAUGUUCAUUCUGGUGAGAUCAGAAUGAGAUGAGAUGAAGCUUAUUGACUAUUAAGCAUAUUUUAUCACUUUGGAAUUUAAGAGCAGAUACGGAUGUCAAUUGGAAAUAAUUAUAAUACUUGGAUAUCAAUGAAGCGUCUUCUCUAGGAAGAAAAUAGGUGUUGAGCGUUAAAAGUGAUCGAACCAGGGAAGUUAGAUAACAAUUAUACUUUUGGCAGGUAUCUGAAAGGUUGAAGUUGGUUUCUUAUGUUAGAUAUGUAAUUAAAUGUAUUAAGGAAGAAUCAUGUGAUGAUUAAAGGUAGGAAACUAAGUAUUACCUAGAUAAGUGAUGAUCUAUACGUAGUUCGGGAUAUAAUGAGUAAAAAAGUUGAUAUGAGAUGAAGGUAAAAGUAACACCAUGAAUUUAAGUGAUCAUAAGAGUUGGAAUGGGCAAGGGUUAAAUUAUUCAAGUCAUGGACGACAAUGUUUGGAGACUUACUAGGAAUUUGGAGGAAUAAUUUUUAGAGCGUUAGAUUUCGAAAAAUAUGUUGGUUGGCACCUUAGUGAAAGUUAGAAAUGAAUAAGAAAUUGAUUAGUGAAUAGAUGUGCAAGGAUGAUUAGUAAGAACUUAUGCAGGAAAGAUUGAGUUGUGUUAUAAAAUAAUAUUAUGAUCUUUGGAUAGUCACGAUAAUUAAGAUGUUUUUUGCAAUUGACAAGAUAAAGGUUAUGAUGUGUUGGGAAACAACUCUAGGCGGUUGAUUGAUGAAAUUUUGAAGUUCUAAAUUUUUAGAUGAUCGAUGAAGAUCUAGUAUGAGGGUCCUUGGAGUUGGGAUAUAGAAAAGAUGGUCGGUCGCAAAGGAAGAUUGAAGUUGUAUGCGAUCAAGGAACGAUGGAGGUAACUCGCAUUUUAAUAGAGGGGUUGACAACCUUGUUGUUUGAUUGUUAAAGUUAAAAAGGAGUUGUGAGAAAGACUACAUUGAUAUACCUUAAUAGGAAAUGAAAAGGAGAUUGAGCACUACAUCAAGAAUUUAUGUUAUAGAUGAUGAGGUUGCGCUCAUACUUAAAGUAGAGAUUUAAGAAGUGGUAUAAAUGGAUAGAGAAUAACUUUGAAGUUUAACAUCAUAUAUCACAAGGGUACUGAAUAAUGUAUUUGUGUCCAGAAGGAAACUUACAAUUGGAAUCGAGAUGGUGAAUUUAUAAAGGAAAAAAAAAUGUUGGAAAUGCGACUUAUAUUAUUUAAGGUUUGUUUGGGAAACAAGCUCUUUCAAGAAAAAAAGAAUUUAAUAGUGAGAGGAAAGAAACUCAAAUGAGUUUGGAAGAGGGUAUAGGAUAACACGAAAGACGUAGUGUGUCAACAAUAGUCGUCAACAGAGGGGGACAUUUCAUGUCAUGGUACACAAGGAUAAGCUAGGUAAUGAUUUGGAAAUAAGGGUUGCGUUAGAGUAUGAUACAAUAGUUUAAGACUGGUGUAAAGUGAAUUUGUGUCUUGUAGAUGACAUAGUUUUGGCAUGUGAAAGAAAAUUUGGGGAGCUUCAAUCACCAACCGGAUGUUGGGAUGGUAAUAUUAAUAUUGUAAUUUGGAAGGAAAUUCGAAUAUGAACAUAUACAGAUCACCACAAUUAUGAGAUGAAAUGAAUAACUAAGGAUUUAUGGACAUUGGCAAAGUUGUGAAGUUCUCUACGUGGAUGACCGUUUCAUUUGGGGCGAAACGGUUUGGAUUGUACCUGGUGUAUUAGCGUUUACUGCUUUGAGGAUACUCAACAAUUUUUCUGUGCUAAGUGAGCGUAAAGGAGGUUGUAACAUGUUUUGGGCAAUUAUGUCUCAAUGACGAGAUUGUAGUAGCCAGAAAUUGAGGAAAAAUUUAGUUGACCUCGAAGGGAUUGUUAGGACCUUAUGCCUUAGAUGACUUUAAGUACAAUUGCAAAGAAUUCCAUUUUUGUUAAGCAAGGAUAGUUUGUACCACCAUCAUGGUUGUUGGCUACCUACUGAAAAAUUUAGGAACUGAUCACCCUUAAUCUCUUGUUGAUAGUAUAUGGAAUUAUGUUGAAUGGAAUAGACGAGUCUUGUUGAUAGUGUGUAAAGUUAAUUAAGCAUUCUAUCAGGAGGAUAGUUGAUCACCACUUCACAUAAACCUAGUGGAGUGGGUUGAGACGUGGAGGUGGAAAUGUGACUAUGAGAGUUUAAGCAUUUACCUAGAAUCCUAGAGGACUUGUCAUUUAUGAAUGUGUUCUUUUAAGCUUAGUUUUGAGUGUUGAACUCAUAGUGUGAUGUCUAGCCUUACAUCUAGAGUCUGAGUCAGUGCAUAUUUGUAGAGGGUUGCGAUAAGUGCACGAUCGUGCUAGUGAUGGUGGUAGUAAUAACUAGUCGAGGUUUUACACUUGCCUUAAGUUUCGAGGACGAAACUUCUUUUAGGAGGGUAGUAAUGUAAGACCCGUAAAAGUACGUUAGCGUAAAUUAGAAUUUGAGAAUAUUAAAUAGUAUAAUGCUAUUUUAUUUUAUCAAUUAUUUUUAAUUGUCUAUAAAUAACACAGAGUUAUUGAGACCAUGUCGAAGUGUUACCAAAACUCUAUUAAUAUUAGAAUCAUUUUCUUAUAGUUUUAAUUAUCCAUGCAAAAUAUUUUUACGGCGUCAAAAUUUUAAGUCGGAGUUUUACAGACUGACCUUCGACAACGUGUGAAUAAUUAGCGGACAAAAUAUUUCGAGUUUUUACUUGUACCAAAUUAUUUUAUUAAUCUAUGUUACGCGUAGAGCGUGUAGGUAAGCUCGUUUUAUUUUUUUACACCAUUUACAGUCACACUUUUACGUGUUAGAGCCUAUUUAACCGAGUAUUUUUAUUUAAGAUUUUGAUCAUUUUCAGUCUGUAUUAUUAAACUUCGUUCCGCAUUAAUCAUUUUAAUAUGUUUAUUUUUAUUUUUUAAUAAAACGCGCGUUCAACUAUUAUUUGUUCCGAGUAUUUUUUUAUGUGUAUAU